rnacentral:rRNA from 1 species
GGUUGAUCCUGCCGGCGGGCACCGCUAUUGGAGUUCGCUUAAGACAUGCGAGUCGCGAGGGGUAAGCCCUCGGCGUACGGCUCAGUAACACGCGGAUAACCUGCCCUUGGGUGGGGGAUAACCUCGGGAAACUGAGGAUAAUACCCCAUAGGCCUAGGAUACUGGAAGGUUCCCUGGCUUAAAGCUCCGGCGCCCAAGGAUGGGUCUGCGGCCUAUCAUGGUUGUAGGGGGUGUAAUGUACCCCCUAGCCUGCGACGGGUACGGGCUUUGGGAGAAGUCGCCCGGAGAUGGACUCUGAGACACGAGUCCAGGCCCUACGGGGCGCAGCAGUCGCGAAAACUUCGCAAUGGGCUAACGCCCGACGAGGGAACUCCAAGUGCCAACGCUAUGCGUUGGCUGUUCCCCCGUCUAAAAAACAGGGGAAGUAAAGGGCGGGUAAGACGGGUGCCAGCCGCCGCGGUAGUACCCGCGCCCUAAGCGGUGCUCGUUAUUAUUGAGCCUAAAGCGUCCGCAGCCGGCUCGCUAAAUCCUUGGGUAAAUCGGGCAGCUUAACUGUCCGAACUCCGGGGAGACUGGCGAGCUCGGGACCGGGAAAGGGUGGAGGUACUCCUGGGGUAGGGGUAAAAUCCUGUAAUCCUAGGAGGACCACCGGUGGCGAAGGCGUCCACCUGGAACGGAUCCGACGGUAAGGGACGAAGGCCUGGGGCGCAAACGGGAUUAGAUACCCCGGUAGUCCAGGCUGUAAACGCUGUGGUCUUGGUGUUGGGGGUCCUACGAGGGCUCCCAGUGCCGGAGCGAAGGUGUUAAGACCACCGCUUGGGGAGUACGGUCGCAAGACUGAAACUUAAAGGAAUUGGCGGGGGAGCACCGCAACGGGAGGAGCGUGCGGUUCAAUUGGAUUCAACGCCGGAAAACUCACCGGGGGCGACUGGUACAUGUGAGCCAGGCUGACGAUCUUGCUCGAAUUCCAGAGAGGUGGUGCAUGGCCGUCGUCAGUUCGUACCGUAAGGCGUUCUGUCAAGUCAGAUAACGAACGAGACCCUCGCCCAUAUUUGCCACCUCACCCGCGAGGGUGGGAGCACAAUAUGGGGACCGCCAUCGCUAAGAUGGAGUGAAGGAGAGGUCAACGGUAGGUCCGUAUGCCCCGAAUCCCCCGGGCAACACGCGCGCUACAAAGGACAGGACAAUGGGUUCCGACACCGAGAGGUGAGGGCAAUCCCGAAACCUGUUCGUAGUUCGGAUUGGGGGUUGUAACCCACCCCCAUGAAGCUGGAUUCCGUAGUAAUCGCGGGUCAACAUCCCGCGGUGAAUAUGCCCCUGCUCCUUGCACACAC